rnacentral:rRNA from 2 species
GGUUAAGUGACUAAGCGUACACGGUGGAUGCCUAGGCAGUCAGAGGCGAUGAAGGGCGUGCUAAUCUGCGAAAAGCGUCGGUAAGGUGAUAUGAACCGUUAUAACCGGCGAUACCCGAAUGGGGAAACCCAGUGUGUUUCGACACACUAUCAUGUCAUGAAUACAUAGUGGCAUGAGGCGAACCGGGGGAACUGAAACAUCUAAGUACCCCGAGGAAAAGAAAUCAACCGAGAUUCCCCCAGUAGCGGCGAGCGAACGGGGAGGAGCCCAGAACCUGAAUCGGCUUGUGUGUUAGUGGAAGCGUCUGGAAAGUCGCGCAGCAAAGGGUGAUAGCCCCGUACACUAAAAUGCACAGGUCGUGAGUUCGAUGAGUAGGGCGGGACACGUGACAUCCUGUCUGAAUAUGGGGGGACCAUCCUCCAAGGCUAAAUACUCCUGACUGACCGAUAGUGAACCAGUACCGUGAGGGAAAGGCGAAAAGAACCCCGGCGAGGGGAGUGAAAUAGAACCUGAAACCGUGUACGUACAAGCAGUGGGAGCACCUUCGUGGUGUGACUGCGUACCUUUUGUAUAAUGGGUCAGCGACUUAUAUUUUGUAGCAAGGUUAACCGUAUAGGGGAGCCGUAGGGAAACCGAGUCUUAACUGGGCGAAUAGUUGCAAGGUAUAGACCCGAAACCCGGUGAUCUAGCCAUGGGCAGGUUGAAGGUUGGGUAACACUAACUGGAGGACCGAACCGACUAAUGUUGAAAAAUUAGCGGAUGACUUGUGGCUGGGGGUGAAAGGCCAAUCAAACCGGGAGAUAGCUGGUUCUCCCCGAAAGCUAUUUAGGUAGCGCCUCGUGAACUCAUCUUCGGGGGUAGAGCACUGUUUCGGCUAGGGGGCCAUCCCGGCUUACCAAACCGAUGCAAACUCCGAAUACCGAAGAAUGUUAUCACGGGAGACACACGGCGGGUGCUAACGUCCGUCGUGAAGAGGGAAACAACCCAGACCGCCAGCUAAGGUCCCAAAGUCAUGGUUAAGUGGGAAACGAUGUGGGAAGGCAUAGACAGCCAGGAUGUUGGCUUAGAAGCAGCCAUCAUUUAAAGAAAGCGUAAUAGCUCACUGGUCGAGUCGGCCUGCGCGGAAGAUGUAACGGGGCUAAACCAUGCACCGAAGCUGCGGCAGCGACGCUUAGGCGUUGUUGGGUAGGGGAGCGUUCUGUAAGCCGUUGAAGGUGGCCUGUGAGGGUUGCUGGAGGUAUCAGAAGUGCGAAUGCUGACAUAAGUAACGAUAAAGCGGGUGAAAAGCCCGCUCGCCGGAAGACCAAGGGUUCCUGUCCAACGUUAAUCGGGGCAGGGUGAGUCGACCCCUAAGGCGAGGCUGAAAAGCGUAGUCGAUGGGAAACAGGUUAAUAUUCCUGUACUUGGUGUUACUGCGAAGGGGGGACGGAGAAGGCUAGGCUAGCCGGGCGACGGUUGUCCCGGUUUAAGCGUGUAGGGGGUGUGACCUGGUAAAUCCGGUUGCAUAUCAACCCUGAGGCGUGAUGACGAUGCACUACGGUGCAGAAGUAGUUGAUGCCCUGCUUCCAGGAAAAUCCUCUAAGCUCCAGGUAACAUUAAAUCGUACCCCAAACCGACACAGGUGGUCAGGUAGAGAAUACCAAGGCGCUUGAGAGAACUCGGGUGAAGGAACUAGGCAAAAUGGUGCCGUAACUUCGGGAGAAGGCACGCUGGCAUGUAGGUGAAGUCCCUUGCGGAUGGAGCUGAAGCCAGUCGAAGAUACCAGCUGGCUGCAACUGUUUAAUAAAAACACAGCACUGUGCAAACACGAAAGUGGACGUAUACGGUGUGACGCCUGCCCGGUGCUGGAAGGUUAAUUGAUGGGGUCAGCCGCAAGGCGAAGCUCUUGAUCGAAGCCCCAGUAAACGGCGGCCGUAACUAUAACGGUCCUAAGGUAGCGAAAUUCCUUGUCGGGUAAGUUCCGACCUGCACGAAUGGCGUAAUGAUGGCCAGGCUGUCUCCACCCGAGACUCAGUGAAAUUGAACUCGCUGUGAAGAUGCAGUGUACCCGCGGCAAGACGGAAAGACCCCGUGAACCUUUACUAUAGCUUGACACUGAACAUUGAGCCUUGAUGUGUAGGAUAGGUGGGAGGCUUUGAAGCGUGGACGCCAGUCUGCGUGGAGCCAUCCUUGAAAUACCACCCUUUAAUGUUUGAUGUUCUAACUCGGCCCCAUAAUCUGGGGUGAGGACAGUGUCUGGUGGGUAGUUUGACUGGGGCGGUCUCCUCCCAAAGAGUAACGGAGGAGCACGAAGGUUAGCUAAUCACGGUCGGACAUCGUGAGGUUAGUGCAAAGGCAUAAGCUAGCUUGACUGCGAGAGUGACGGCUCGAGCAGGUACGAAAGUAGGUCUUAGUGAUCCGGUGGUUCUGAAUGGAAGGGCCAUCGCUCAACGGAUAAAAGGUACUCCGGGGAUAACAGGCUGAUACCGCCCAAGAGUUCAUAUCGACGGCGGUGUUUGGCACCUCGAUGUCGGCUCAUCACAUCCUGGGGCUGAAGUAGGUCCCAAGGGUAUGGCUGUUCGCCAUUUAAAGUGGUACGCGAGCUGGGUUUAGAACGUCGUGAGACAGUUCGGUCCCUAUCUGCCGUGGGCGUUGGAAGAUUGAGAGGGGUUGCUCCUAGUACGAGAGGACCGGAGUGAACGCACCACUGGUGUUCGGGUUGUCAUGCCAAUGGCAUUGCCCGGUAGCUAAGUGCGGAAAAGAUAAGCGCUGAAAGCAUCUAAGCGCGAAACUUGCCUCAAGAUGAGUCUUCCCUGGGCCUUUAAGGCCCCUGAAGGAACGUUUAAGACUAAGACGUUGAUAGGCUGGGUGUGUAAGUGCAGCGAUGCAUUGAGCUAACCAGUACUAAUGAUCCGUGAGGCUUAACCUU